rnacentral:rRNA from 1 species
GACGAACGCUGGCGGCGUGCUUAACACAUGCAAGUCGAACGGAAAGGCCCUGCUUUUGUGGGGUGCUCGAGUGGCGAACGGGUGCGUAACACGUGAGUAACCUGCCCUUGCCUUUGGGAUAACUUCAGGAAACUGGGGCUAAUACCGGCUAGGAGCUCCUGCUGUAUGGUGGGGGUUGGAAAGUUUCGGCGGUUGGGGAUGGACUCGCGGCCUAUCAGCUUGUUGGUGGGGUAGUGGCUUACCAAGGCUUUGACGGGUAGCCGGCCUGAGAGGGAGACCGGCCACAUUGGGACUGAGGUACGGGCCAGACUCCUACGGGAGGCAGCAGUGGGGAAUAGUGCACAAUGGGCGGAAGCCUGAUGCAGCAACGCCGCGUGCGGGAUGACGGCCGUCGGGUUGUAAACCGCUUUCGCCUGUGACGAAGCGUGAGUGACGGUAAUGGGUAAAGAAGCACCGGCUAACUACGUG